GAUGAACGCUGGCGGCGUGCCUAACACAUGCAAGUCGAACGGAGAUUACGGACGGAAGUUUUCGGAUGGAAGCCUGUAAUUCUUAGUGGCGGACGGGUGAGUAGCGCGUGGGCAACCUGCCCUAUACAGGGGGAUAGCAGCUGGAAACGGCUGGUAAGACCGCAUAAGUCGGUUAAAUCGCAUGAUUUGAUCGGGAAAUGAGCAAUCAGGUAUAGGAUGGGCCCGCGUCCGAUUAGCCAGUUGGCAGGGUAAAAGCCUACCAAAGCGACGAUCGGUAGCCGGACUGAGAGGUCGGACGGCCACAUUGGGACUGAGACACGGCCCAAACUCCUACGGGAGGCAGCAGUGGGGGAUAUUGCACAAUGGAGGAAACUCUGAUGCAGCGACGCCGCGUGAGUGAAGAAGUAUUUCGGUAUGUAAAGCUCUAUCAGCAGGGAAGAUGAUGACGGUACCUGACUAAGAAGCCCCGGCUAACUACGUG
rnacentral:rRNA from 1 species